CGUGACUGUGGACAAAGUUGGUUUUGUGAAAUGAAAGAUGGGUUGCAGAGAAAGACACCAAUGGAAUUGCAUUUAGCUCAACAUCUGAUCACAGGUCCUUCUUCAUUUGGUGGACACAUGUUGAUGUUUAUAUCGCCACCAAAACUUUUCUGUGGACUUGGAAGGUCAUAAGAAAAUUUGGCAGUAACUGCUACUUUGGAUAGGUGCUCUGUGAAAGUGAUUUGAAAUUGAAUAAUGCAACCUCUUACAAGCCAGGUACAGCUCUAAAUAUAUGCUUUAUGAAUUAAAAAAUUCAAGAAAUGAAGUUGAAUGAUAUGCUUUUAAUUAGUAGUAGAUUGUCAGGAGCCACCAUCUUAGAUGGAACAUGGAGGAAUACAUACAGUAUUCCAAACUUUAGAUUUUAUUGUAAUAUGAAGAAAAGAACUGGGAAACAUGACAUGCUGUAUGUAUUUUUUUUUUGAAGAAAAAUACUAGUACUCAGUAGUGCCCAGGUGUUGUAUUUUCAUGGUGAAAGAUUAUCCUUUUUGUAAUUUUCUAUGAAUCUGUUUUCACUGUUCCAAUAGAAUUUUAUGGAAACAGAAAAACUCGGUGUGCUUGCUACUCAGUUAGAAAAUAUUUGUGCUUAUAGGUGCUUAAUUAGCAUUUCAAUGUUAACAAGAUGAAUACGUCCGAAGGUAUUGGUUU